GACGAACGCUGGCGGCGCGCUUAACACAUGCAAGUCGAACGGUGAUCCCAGGAGCUUGCUUCUGGGUGAGCAGUGGCGAACGGGUGGGUAACACGUGAGUAACCUGCCCCUGACUCUGGAAUAAGCGCUGGAAACGGCGUCUAAUACCGGAUACGAGACGCAACCGCAUGGUUAGUGGCUGGAAAGUUUUUCGGUCUGGGAUGGACUCGCGGCCUAUCAGCUUGUUGGUGAGGUAAUGGCUCACCAAGGCGAUGACGGGUAGCCGGCCUGAGAGGGCGAUCGGCCACACUGGGACUGAGACACGGCCCAGACUCCUACGGGAGGCAGCAGUGGGGAAUAUUGCACAAUGGGCGAAAGCCUGAUGCAGCGACGCCGCGUGAGGGAUGACGGCCUUCGGGUUGUAAACCUCUUUCAGCAGGGAAGAAGCGCAAGUGACGGUACCUGCAGAAGAAGCACCGGCUAACUACGUGCCAGCAGCCGCAGUAA
rnacentral:rRNA from 1 species